GGGGGUUGGAAGUUUGUAUGAGAGUCCCAUGUUUUUGACGUAAGAGACUUGAAAUUUAAAAUGUAAGCUCUAUAGAUAGAUGGUGAAAAGGUGUCCAAAUAAUGUAUCUUUAGAAAUCAACCCCUUUUUGGGUUAAAACGGGGGAUAGUAGGUUGGCUCACUGAUCACGAAAUCUCCGAAACUAUAACAGUUACAAACUUGGAAUUUGGCAGAAAGGCUCCUUAUAGGGCUUAAACAUUCGCUAAGAACGGGUUUUACAAAACUCGACCCCUAAGGGGCUAAAACGGGGGUUG
rnacentral:misc_RNA from 1 species